UACGGGAGGGCAGCAGUGGGGAAUAUUGCACAAUGGGCGCAAGCCUGAUGCAGCCAUGCCGCGUGUAUGAAAAAGGCCUUCGGGUUGUAAAGUACUUUCAGUCGUGAGGAAGGUGUUAAGGUUAAUAACCUUAGCAAUUGACGUUAGCGACAGAAGAAGCACCGGCUAACUCCGUGCCAGCAGCCGCGGUAAUACGGAGGGUGCGAGCGUUAAUCGGAAUUACUGGGCGUAAAGGGCACGCAGGCGGUUAAUUAAGUUGGAUGUGAAAUCCCCGGGCUUAACCUGGGAAUGGCAUUCAAGACUGGUUAGCUAGAGUCUUGUAGAGGGGGUAGAAUUCCAUGUGUAGCGGUGAAAUGCGUAGAGAUGUGGAGGAAUACCGGUGGCGAAGGCGGCCCCUGGACAAAGACUGACGCUCAUGUGCGAAAGCGUGGGGAGCGAAACAGGGAUUAGAUACC
rnacentral:rRNA from 1 species